AUUGAACGCUGGCGGCAGGCCUAACACAUGCAAGUCGAGCGAGAGGGGGACGGGUGAGCAAUGUAUGGGGAUAUGCCCGAUAGAGGGGGCUCACCACUGGAAGCGGAGGCUAAUACCGCAUACUUUAGGAUGAAUCGAUAUGGGAUUAGCUAGUAGGUGGGGUAAACGCUCACCUAGGCGACGAUCUCUAGCUGGUCUGAGAGGAUGAUCAGCCAGACGGGGACUGAGACACGGCCCAGACUCCGACGGGAGGCAGCAGUGGGGAAUAUUGCACAAUGGGCGCAAGCCUGAUACAGCCAUGCCGCGUGUAUGAAGAAGGCCUUAGGAUUGUAAAGUACUUUCAGCGGGGAGGCGUUACCCGCAGAAGAAGCACCGGCUAACUACGUGCCAGCAGCCGCGGUAAUUC
rnacentral:rRNA from 1 species